GUGAGGAAUAUUGGUCAAUGGGCGAGAGCCUGAACCAGCCAAGUCGCGUGAAGGAAGAAGGAUCUAUGGUUCGUAAACUUCUUUUGCAGGGGAAUAAAGUGCAGGACGUGUCCUGUUUUGUAUGUACCCUGAGAAUAAGGAUCGGCUAACUCCGUGUCAGCAGCCGCGGUAAUACGGAGGAUCCGAGCGUUAUCCGGAUUUAUUGGGUUUAAAGGGUGCGUAGGUGGUUUGAUAAGUCAGCGGUGAAAGUUUGCAGCUUAACUGUAAAAAUGCCGUUGAAACUGUCGGACUUGAGUGUAAAUGAGGUAGGCGGAAUGCGUGGUGUAGCGGUGAAAUGCAUAGAUAUCACGCAGAACUCCGAUUGCGAAGGCAGCUUACUAAGCUACAACUGACACUGAAGCACGAAAGCGUGGGGAUCAAACAGGAUUAGAUACCCGAGUAGUCC
rnacentral:rRNA from 1 species